CAGUAGCCGCGGUAAUACAGAGGGUGCAAGCGUUAAUCAGAAUUACUGGGCGUAAAGCGCGCGUAGGUGGUUUGUUAAGUUGGAUGUGAAAUCCCCGGGCUCAACCUGGGAACUGCAUCCAAAACUGGCAAGCUAGAGUAUGGUAGAGGGUGGUGGAAUUUCCUGUGUAGCGGUGAAAUGCGUAGAUAUAGGAAGGAACACCAGUGGCGAAGGCGACCACCUGGACUGAUACUGACACUGAGGUGCGAAAGCGUGGGGAGCAAACAGGAUUAGAUACCCCCGUAGUCCCUGUCUCUUAUAC
rnacentral:rRNA from 1 species